ensembl:lncRNA
CAGGAUCUGUAUGAGCCACAGAACUAACCCUCAGGUCUACCCUCUCCGUACUGACUUCCUUAGGCAGAGGUGUGGCCUGCUUAUGCCCAAAUUCCCCCCAGCCAAGAGAGAGACCAAAGAGCCUGCGGAAUGCCUCUGCUCCCUGCCUCUAUCUUCAGGUCCAUAAAAAGAAGAGUAGAGACAGCCCAGAGUCCCCAGGUCUGCGAAGGGUCAGGAGGGGUCAAGAAAGGAGUAGGGAGGCUGAAGGAUACAGGGCAUUUGAAUCCAAAUCACUGCUCUGGGCUAGGGAAUAGAGCCAGCAGACAGAGGUGGAAGGGAUUCUGGAAGGGGGACCUUUCAGUCCCCCAAUCCCAAAGCUCAGGGUGGAAGGGGGUAGAACAAGGGAGCAGAGUGUCUAUAAUUAUUUUUAUCUUUUAUUUUUGGAAUCUAGCAGUACCUGGCAGCAGGGAGGGGAUGAUACAGUGGGGAAAAGCAUCUGACAAGGCCAGUUAGAGCAGAGGUUGGGAAGGAUGGAGACUUCCUGCUUUGGAAAGCUGGAAAGCAGGCAGGGACUGGUUGCCACUCCAGGUCACUAGCUGGGCCCAUUCAUUCCUUUCACAAUCCUGACCCAUCCUCCUCUGGACUCACUGUGCCUCAGUUUCUUCCCCUCGAUGGAACGAGAAAAUAGCAGCACCCGCCACAGCCAAGAGAUGAAUUCUGAGCACUUACCACGGGCACUUUAUGGACAUAAAAUACCUCUCGCUGUGGGACAGAUAACCAGGGCACCAGAGUAGUGGUGAAGAGAUGUGAGGCUUAGAGGAGUCACAGGCUUCAGAGUACAAGUUCCCCUCUGCCUCCCAGCUGGACAGUGCCUGACACCAAGGAGCUGAGAACCUUCUGAUCCAUACCCUAUCCAUACCUCACCUCCAGACCUCUUGGCUCCAGGCAGGAGACUACAGGAUGUCAGGAGUGGAGGGGGAAAGAACCUUCAGCAAAACGAACUCUGAGUAGAGCAUCAGUCAUGGGUCUGACGCAAACAAUACGGAACACAAGUAAAACCUGAGCUGGAAAGCUGACCUGGAAGGCUUGUUCUUCCCGAGAGCAUGACUUUCCUGCCUGGCCCAGCUGGUGGAAGGGGCAAAGGGUGUCUGAGGAGUAUGGGGCUGACAGGGGCACUGGAAUGCCGGGAAAGGACCUCUUCACUGAGAUCAAGGCUUCCUGAAGGGAACCAUUGCAAAAAGGCCAUCAGGCAGUUUUCAAGUUAUGUGACAGAGGGCAAAGAUGGCCAUAGGGUGCUCUGAGUUUUGGGAUGGUCACAUGACACAAUCCAGCACUUGAACCUGAAAAAAGAAAAAUAAAAGCAGUCAAAGAAUUUAGAA